GGGCCCGUAGCUCAGCCAGGAUAGAGCACCGGCCUCCGGAGCCGGUGGUCCCGGGUUCAAAUCCCGGCGGGCCCG
rnacentral:tRNA from 3 species